rnacentral:rRNA from 1 species
CUAGCCGUAAACGAUGGAUACUAGGCGUUGUGAGUAUCGACCCUCACAGUGUCGUAGCUAACGCGUUAAGUAUCCCGCCUGGGGAGUACGCGCGCAAGCGUGAAACUCAAAGGAAUUGACGGGGGCCCGCACAAGCGGUGGAGUAUGUGGUUUAACUCGAUGCAACGCGAAGAACCUUACCAGGACUUGACAUGUCGCGAAUCUCAGGGAAACUUGAGAGUGCCUUCGGGAGCGCGAACACAGGUGGUGC